GGCACAGUGCUAAAAACUAGGAUGCGAGCAGAGAAGAAACAUCAAAGUGAUACUGUGGAGAGGAUUUUGGUGUAAAGUAAAGCAAGGAUCCAAGAAGUAUAAAACCUUCAAGCAGGGAGAGGACAAGGAUGGAUAUCACCGGGACUAUCAGGAAGCAGAAGAUAAAAGAAGUUCAAGCUUUACACUUUGUAUGUGGAGCUUCAGAUCCUGAAGGGAAAACGUCAGGCUUCUCAUGUUAAAAUAAUGGGUUUUCAUGACUGUAGAAUGCAACAAGGCAUAGGUCUUGGCAGAUCUUAUUUACGGGCAGUUUUGGUCAGACCAUGCCCGUGUGGAUGCCCGUAUGUCCUUCAAGGUUGAUCUGUAAGCACGUUGACGACGUUCAACUAAAUGAAAAAGGAUUGAAAUCUCAACAGUAAAACAGUACGUGUUUUCUGGAGAUUGAUGUGGAGGGGCAAAAUGGAGUCCGUUGGCCAGCACCAAAACAGCAGGUUGGUUUGCAGGUGUUUUUGGGUUCAACACAGUGCAUGCUGGCUCCUGUCAAAAGAGUACAGGUGGGGGAAAUUGUUACAGGAGAUAGGGAACUGAAACUGCUGUGGGAGGGGAAAAUAUAGGGGGCAGAGUACACCUUGGUUGGAAGCUAUACUUAUUUAUUUCUGCAGCUUACAGUAUAACUAGCUUUAUUACCAGGGCCUAAUUUGGUGUCUGGUGUUAAUAAUUGAUACAAUUGGGUCUUCCCCUGUUCCCCGCCAUUUCUAAUGAGCAGCGUAUGCUUUUUGGCUUCCCUCCAUGCAUUUCCUUACAGUCAGGCCUCGCUGCCUCAGGAAUCUUCUCACCUCUGUUGCCUUCCGUGAUCCCAAACCUGCCCUUUCCACAGGGGGUGGUGUGGAGGUCCCAUCUCAGUCCCCAGCAGCUUUUCCUUAGAAAUGCUAAUAGGAUCAGCGUUGGAAAUGAGAUUAGAAGACUGAACUUGAACAUUUUGUUUCAACUAACUGGAUUAACUCGUGGGUUUGGUACAGCCAAGCAUCCACGUUCCCCCUCAGCAGCAAAACCAUGAAGUCGUUGUUCAGAAAUGCUUCUCCCCUCUUCUUAAAGCUGCUUUCACGGUGCUAAUGAGCUGUUGGGCUAAAUCAUUAACAUUCUUCAAAGUUUUUUUUUCUCUCUCUCUCUCUCAGCCUAUGAGGAGGAUAAGGGGUUUUGUAAGGGUUAUGCUUAAAUCGGAAACGUUCGCGGCUCAGCCCGCUCUACAAUCGUUACGUUGUUGUUGAAUUAACGCACAGGCAGGACAAGUGGAAGGGCCCGGCUCCGCUGUCACUGGCGACGGCGGAGCCACGGGCUGGGCUGGUCGGGCAGGUUACCCGCCGCGCGGGAAGUCGAGCUUGUCCUCCAAGGAGGGGCAGAGCCGCUGAAUCACAGCCGUGUAUCCCAGAAGCGACACCGCGAGCUCCGCGCUACGCUUUAUGUUGGGGUUAAAACAUGCCUUCGCAGCAGGGGUGAAAGUAGAGGUUUGAGGAAAGAAAACAACCCUCCACUGGAGAAUGCGGGCAUCGAUCCCGCUACCUCUCGCAUGCUAAGCGAGCGCUCUACCAUUUGAGCUAAUUCCCCGGUGCCCAGCCUCCAUUUUCCGCCUACCCCCACACAGCCUCACCCCGCCCCCCCCCCUCCGCGCGCACC
ensembl:lncRNA